UCCCUGGUGGUCCAGUGGUUAGGCCUUCACCUUCCAAUGUGGAGGGUGCAGGUUUGAUUCCUGGUCGGGGAG
rnacentral:tRNA from 1 species